rnacentral:rRNA from 1 species
ACGGGUGAGUAACACGUGAAUUACAUGCCCUUCAGAGGGGGAUAGCCCAGGGAAACUUGGAUUAAUACCCCAUGGUCUCGCAAGAGUAAAGGUGGCCGCAAGGCUGCCGCUGGAGGAUUGGUUCGCGGCCUAUCAGCUUGUUGGCGGGGUAACGGCCCACCAAGGCUACGACGGGUACCUGGUUUGAGAGGACGAUCAGGCACACUGGAACUGAGACACGGUCCAGACACCUACGGGUGGCAGCAGUCGAGAAUAAUUCACAAUGGGGGCAACCCUGAUGGUGCAACGCCGCGUGGAGGAUGAAGGUCUUCGGAUUGUAAACUCCUGUCAUCCGGGAGUAAGACCUGGCUGUGAAUAGCAGACAGGGUUGAUAGUACCGGAAGAGGAAGGGACGGCUAACUUCGUGCCAGCAGCCGCGGUAAUACGAAGGUCCCGAGCGUUGUUCGGAAUCACUGGGCGUAAAGGGAGCGUAGGCGGUGCGGUAAGUCAGAUGUGAAAUCCCGGGGCUCAACCCCGGAACUGCAUCCGAUACUGCCGUGCUUAGAGGGUUGGAGAGGUAGCUGGAAUUCACGGUG